rnacentral:rRNA from 1 species
AGUGAACGCUGGCGGCAGGCCUAAUACAUGCAAGUCGAACGGCAGCACAGCAGAGCUUGCUCUGUGGGUGGCGAGUGGCGGACGGGUGAGGAAUACAUGGGAAUCUGCCCAGUCGUGGGGGAUAACGUAGGGAAACUUACGCUAAUACCGCAUGCGCCCUUCGGGGGAAAGCCGGGGACCUUCGGGCCUGGCGCGAUUGGAUGAGCCCAUGUCGGAUUAGCUAGUUGGCGGGGUAAUGGCCCACCAAGGCGACGAUCCGUAGCUGGUCUGAGAGGAUGAUCAGCCACACUGGAACUGAGACACGGUCCAGACUCCUACGGGAGGCAGCAGUAGGGAAUAUUGGACAAUGGGCGCAAGCCUGAUCCAGCCAUGCCGCGUGAGUGAAGAAGGCCCUCGGGUUGUAAAGCUCCUUUGUCCGGAAAGAAAAGCGCCGGGUUAAUACCCUAGUGUCCUGACGGUACCGGAAGAAUAAGCACCGGCUGACUUCGUGCCAGCAGCC